UUCUUAUAUCCCAGGUCACUGCUGAAGAACUUGAGAUCCAGAUUCUUCACCUACGUGGCUCAAGGUCACAGCAUUAAUGGAACAGGAGUGCCUGGCACAGGAGACCCGCUGUCCACACUGGAACAUGCAGAUCACUUCAGAGGCCAAGAUUUGAUUCAAUCACUCCACUGUCCCUCAGCAGGAAAGGAUUCCCACCCUAUCCUCCAAGGGCAGAUCAGAAUCAGAGUCAAGAAACAGGCUUCACGGAAAAAAAAAACUUAUUGCAGGGUAAGCCAGCAGUUGAGUGACUUAACCAGGAGCUGUUAAAAGAAUAAAACCCUGUGAAGAGGACCACACCCUACCAGUCAUGAAGACAACUGCUUUGCUAAACGCAAGCAGAUUUUGAAAAUAAGAUCUUGCCCUUGAAACUGGCUGUGAUUCUUCCAGUGUUCUUACUAACUGGUUUACUACUGGAUAAAGAGGAUUUGGGGAAGACAGAAACCGGAAAACUACAGACACAUGCAGCCUUUAAGGAAACCACCACAGCUGGUUAAACAGCCCCACACAAACCAACCCCUCCACUCCGAUUUCCAGAAACAGUCUGAGGGGCCCUUCUUUCUAGAGACUUCUCUUUGUUUGGCAAUAAGAUGAUCCAUGACCCCCUUCUUUGUUUCAUAAUUUUCUUUCUACUUCUUCAUAUCCACAAUUUGGUGACUUCAAUUGGAAACCCAAUGGGGACAUCUAGCUGAUUCACAUACUGUCUGUCUGGGCGGGAUGGGAGACUGCAUGGGUGUAGCUGUGCUCAAGCCCGUGUGGACUAUCUACCUACCUGCAUCCUUGCCCUCCUGGUACCCACUUCUUAGCAGCAAGAGAGCAAAGAAAACAUUCACAGCCAUGUACCACAUGGCAGGGAGCUGAUCGAAUUUUCAAAAUGUAUAGUUUUAAGAAGUGUUUAAAUUGAUAAAUUGGCUUAAUAGUCAACUCAUACUGUCAAAUCUUUAAAACAUAAACUUACAAAAAAAAAAUUGUGAGCUUAGUUUUUGACCACAAUCAUCUCAAGUCAAAGAGAAACAUCAAAAACUUCAAACAGACUCACAUCGUACAUGGGGAAAGGAGUUUUUAAAAGUCCCAGGCCAUUAUUUCCCUAUUCGAGGAAAAACAAACACUUCUUUGCAGGUAUUUCUAAGCUUCUAUUGCUAAUGUUGUCUCUCUUCUGUUGGCGUCUGCCACAGAAAAUUUCCUAGAAUUAUAAUUUUCAUUUAAACACAUUUAAACUUGUCAGAAUACAUUUAGAUGAAUGAACAAGAAUGAAACAGACUCCAGAAAAAUGAAAUGCCAGCGUUACCUUCU